GAUGAAGAACGUAGCGAAAUGCGAUACGUAAUGUGAAUUGCAGAAUUCAGUGAAUCAUCGAAUCUUUGAACGCAUAUUGCGCUCUCUGGUAUUCCGGAGAGCAUGCUUGUUUGAGUAUCAGUAAACACCUCAACUCCCUUUUCUUUUUUGAAAUUGGAGCUGGACUUGAGUGAUCCCAACGCUUUCUUCCAAGAAAGUAGCGGGUUGCUUGAAAUGCAGGUGCAGCUGAACUUUUCUCUGAGCUAUAAGCAUAUCUAUUUAGUCUGCCUAAAAAACAGAUUAUUACCUUUGCUGCAGCUAACAUAAAGGAGACUAGUUCUUGUGCUGACUGAUGCAGGAUUCACAGAGACAGCUUCGGCUGACUUUGUAAACUCGAUCUCAAAUCAAGUAAGACUACCCGCUGAACUUAAGCAUAUCAAUAAGCGGAGGA
rnacentral:misc_RNA from 1 species